rnacentral:rRNA from 1 species
GAUGAACGCUGGCGGCGUGCUUAACACAUGCAAGUCGAACGGAAAGGCUCCUGCUUGCAGGGGUACUCGAGUGGCGAACGGGUGAGUAACACGUGGGUGAUCUACCCUGCACUUCGGGAUAAGCCUGGGAAACUGGGUCUAAUACCGGAUAGGACGAUGGUUUGGAUGCCAUUGUGGAAAGUUUUUUCGGUGUGGGAUGAGCUCGCGACCUAUCAGCUUGUUGGUGGGGUAAUGGCCUACCAAGGCGUCGACGGGUAGCCGGCCUGAGAGGGUGUACGGCCACAUUGGGACUGAGAUACGGCCCAGACUCCUACGGGAGGCAGCAGUGGGGAAUAUUGCACAAUGGGCGCAAGCCUGAUGCAGCGACGCCGCGUGGGGGAUGACGGCCUUCGGGUUGUAAACUCCUUUCGCUAGGGACGAAGCGCAAGUGACGGUACCUGGAGAAGAAGCACCGGCUAACUACGUG